rnacentral:rRNA from 1 species
CGAAGCGAAGCAGCGAUGUGAAGCAAAUCGCACCAAAGCCGGUCCCAGUUCGGAUAAGAGGCUGAAACUCGCCUCUUUGAAGUCGGAAUCGCUAGUAAUCGCAGAUCAGCAUGUUGCGGUGAAUACGUUUCCUGGUCUUGUACACACCGCCCGUCAAACCAUGAGAGUCGCCAACACCCGAAGUCCGCUUUGCGGCCUAAGGUGGGGGAGAUGAUUGGGGUUAAGUCGUAACAAGGUAGC